rnacentral:rRNA from 1 species
GACGUAGGGCGCGAGCGUUGUCCGGAUUUAUUGGGCGUAAAGAGCUCGUAGGCGGCUUGUUGCGUCGUCCGUGAAAACUUGUGGCUUAACCACAGGCUGGCGGUCGAUACGGGCAGGCUGGAGUUCGGUAGGGGAGACUGGAAUUCCUGGUGUAGCGGUGAAAUGCGCAGAUAUCAGGAGGAACACCGGUGGCGAAGGCGGGUCUCUGGGCCGAUACUGACACUGAGGAGCGAAAGCGUGGGGAGCGAACAGG